rnacentral:rRNA from 1 species
AGGACGAACGCUGGCGGCGUGCUUAACACAUGCAAGUCGAGCGGAAAGGCCCUUUUGGGGGUACUCGAGCGGCGAACGGGUGAGUAACACGUGAGUAACCUGCCCUGGACUUUGGGAUAACCCUCGGAAACGGGGGCUAAUACCGGAUAUGACCUGCCUCUGCAUGGUGGUGGGUGGAAAGUUUUUCGGUCUGGGAUGGGCUCGCGGCCUAUCAGCUUGUUGGUGGGGUGAUGGCCUACCAAGGCGACGACGGGU